AGUGAACGCUGGCGGUAGGCCUAACACAUGCAAGUCGAACGGCAGCACAGUAAGAGCUUGCUCUUACGGGUGGCGAGUGGCGGACGGGUGAGGAAUACAUCGGAAUCUACUUUUUCGUGGGGGAUAACGUAGGGAAACUUACGCUAAUACCGCAUACGACCUACGGGUGAAAGCAGGGGAUCUUCGGACCUUGCGCGAUUGAAUGAGCCGAUGUCGGAUUAGCUAGUUGGCGGGGUAAAGGCCCACCAAGGCGACGAUCCGUAGCUGGUCUGAGAGGACGAUCAGCCACACUGGACCUGAGACCCGGUCCAGACUCCUACGGGAGGCAGCAGUGGGGAAUAUUGGACAAUGGGCGCAAGCCUGAUCCAGCCAUACCGCGUGGGUGAAGAAGGCCUUCGGGUUGUAAAGCCCUUUUGUUGGGAAAGAAAAGCAGCAGGUUAAUACCCCGCUGUUCUGACGGUACCCAAAGAAUAAGUACCGGCUAACUUCGU
rnacentral:rRNA from 1 species